rnacentral:sRNA from 1 species
ACUUGAGACAUGAGGUUUGAAAGUCGCACAGUGUCUUCACUGUACUUGUUUUUGUAGAGGAAUCGUGCAUUUGCAUGUACGAAACCUUCAUU